GUUGACAGCAAUAUUUGCACAAUAUUUGUCUUCUGCUAAUUGUCUGCGAAAUACGUGAUACAGCUGCCGAUCGUUUUUGUUUUAAUCUGCGCGACUCCAUCUUUUUUGUUAUUGCGAAAGUUGUCGAAAAGUUAACUUAGUGGGGAAUGGCGUUAUGCCACAAAUCAUAAUUAAAACGAAAACAAUCAGCAGUGAGAAGUUUCACAUAAUCGUUAAAAUGCGACUUUUCACCCCAUAGAAGAAGUUUAAGCGAAUAAAGAACCAAAUAUAUAUGUAUAAAUGCCCUGUGGCUAUUCCAACGCCACUAAUCUUCCAGACGCUGUCUGGCCACAGAGGGGGACAGAGGUGGGGGCGGCAAGGACGGGUAACACGGAACCCGUCGAACCAGCAACCGUACCCGUCUCGCGAAAUACCACAACUCACAUACAAUUUUAUAUCGUAUUCCCUACCAAUUAAGGCUAAUCUCAUUUGCGUGAAUUGGAUGCGCCUUUCAAUGGUUCUAUUUCAUUUAUAAUGGAUUUCCAACUAAAAAGCACUCUGGAGGAUUGUUUGAAUAAUGUAUCGUAGUUGCUCGUGUAUUUGACAUAUAGGCUCUAUUUCCACGGACUCUAUUCUAACACAUAAACGCUAGCUUGUCUUCUAUUUUCGAUGCGUUUAAAGAUUAUAAUCUCGUGAAUAGAUUAGUGGUUGUUGUUACGUUUUUUUCAUUUACGACAGAGAAGACGUGUUUCGUCGAGUCUGGCGAUUCUCGGAAACGUGCUUUUGUCGUUCGACUACUUUUUUUUUUUAAACAGAAUUAAGUUGUAGUGAUUUAAUAGCCAUAAGCAAAGGAAUUCGUGAACUGAUUUUAUUUUACAAAGGUCGAGAUGGCUUUCAGAAUAAUUACUCGGAUUCGAAUGUGUUUGAUACACAAUUAACUUAAUAUUGAAAUAUAUUCGGUUAAAUUUUAAUUAAGUGGGUUUUUGUAAUAAACAUAGAUUUUCACUGCAUUAGGUGCGUAAUUAUUUAAGUUAAUUUAAUUUUAAUUAAAUCAAAGGCGAAAUAAAGUCGGGUUUAUGCUAUCAUCUCGUGAAAGCUCAGAAUGUAAUAUUAUAUCAUAGUCGUGUUAAAAUCGUUUAGAAGAUUCGAGAAAAUAAUUCGCUAAAUAUAAAGCACAAGUUUUAAAAUAUAAGUAUAAUAUAAACAUAAUAUUUGUAUGAUGUUAACAGUUACUGUGAUCACAAAAGACUCUUCUAUUCUUUCUUUGGUGACGACUUGACGAGGGUCUUACGGUCUGUCCGGGUAUCUGUGCGCUUCUAAUCUGAGUUAACUUUUACGCUAUCGAGAACGUUAAUAAACUCGCACUAAGCACACUGGAAGAUACAGGUAUGUGGUCUCCUUGACCCGACAGCUUUCCCAUCAUCUGUCAUUGGCAUUAUCCUCGGAUUUUCCUCUACUAUUCUAAUCGAUGUAAAUAGGCGGUUAAGUGCGAGUGCUUAUUUAUCAAUAAAACAAUUUUGUAAAUCGUUUUUAUCCUUAUUCAAAAUGUUAAUAAAAACGAAAUUAGUGAUUAACGAAAUUCGAUUGAAAAUUCAACAAUAGUUCAAUUAAAAAUCACAUUAACUGUUAGUCUUCGCGUUUUCAUGGCAUACAGACCUAACCCUACCCUUAUAUUACCCUACUUUCGUCUAGCUUCGUUUUGUUUUCCUUUUUUUCUUUUUUUACCUAUGCCGAUAGCUUUGAGAGGCUAUUUCAGCUUUACCCUAGCGUAUAGGUGAGCUCUCGAGGCUCAAACCGGAGUUGUUGCUAACAUUGGUCCUAGCAAGAGCAGUGCUUCGCAGAAGAUUGACUUCGGUAACGCGACCCACUGAGAAGAUCCGGCGAGAAACUCAGUAGGAAAGUUUCGUAAUUUCACGUGUUGGUCAUGCCAUCCCAUUUCUUGAAAUACUCGAAUGCAAUAGUUAUGCCUAUCAACCUAAUGGUUUCAAGAUCGACGGUGGUAUUGGCGUUGCGAUUAGCCCAUUGUGUUUUUCGCCGAAUCUGUAGAUUCGGUAGUAGAUUCAGCGAAGCACUGCUCUUGCUAGGGCUAGUGUUAGCAAAUUCUGUCAGGCUGAGCCCGUGAGCUUACCUAACCUUCCGGGCGUAGCUGGAAUAGCCCCCCAUAGCCCCCCCGGGGCUACCAACGAAUACGUAGGGAGAAAUAAUUUUGCGAAUGCAAACUGUAUAUUAUUUAUUAGAGUUACAUAUACAGUUUGCAUAAAUGAUGACAGAUUCACUCAACGUUUGGGUUUCGUUUUCAUAAUACAUAAAUAUCAAUACAAGAUGUGUUCUAAGCAGUAAUUUGUAUUUCAAGAACAUUCUACUCAUACUAUUAACAAAACAAAAUAACUGUGUUAAUAAUAAACAAUUAAUAUUCAUU